CCCCGGUAAACGGCGGCCGUAACUAUAACGGUCCUAAGGUAGCGAAAUUCCUUGUCGGGUAAGUUCCGACCUGCACGAAUGGCGUAAUGAUGGCCAGGCUGUCUCCACCCGAGACUCAGUGAAAUUGAACUCGCUGUGAAGAUGCAGUGUACCCGCGGCAAGACGGAAAGACCCCGUGAACCUUUACUAUAGCUUGACACUGAACAUUGAGCCUUGAUGUGUAGGAUAGGUGGGAGGCUUUGAAGUGUGGACGCCAGUCUGCAUGGAGCCGACCUUGAAAUACCACCCUUUAAUGUUUGAUGUUCUAACGUGGACCCGUAAUCCGGGUUGCGGACAGUGUCUGGUGGGUAGUUUGACUGGGGCGGUCUCCUCCUAAAGAGUAACGGAGGAGCACGAAGGUUGGCUAAUCCUGGUCGGACAUCAGGAGGUUAGUGCAAUGGCAUAAGCCAGCUUGACUGCGAGCGUGACGGCGCGAGCAGGUGCGAAAGCAGGUCAUAGUGAUCCGGUGGUUCUGAAUGGAAGGGCCAUCGCUCAACGGAUAAAAGGUACUCCGGGGAUAACAGGCUGAUACCGCCCAAGAGUUCAUAUCGACGGCGGUGUUUGGCACCUCGAUGUCGGCUCAUCACAUCCUGGGGCUGAAGUAGGUCCCAAGGGUAUGGCUGUUCGCCAUUUAAAGUGGUACGCGAGCUGGGUUUAGAACGUCGUGAGACAGUUCGGUCCCUAUCUGCCGUGGGCGCUGGAGAACUGAGGGGGGCUGCUCCUAGUACGAGAGGACCGGAGUGGACGCAUCACUGGUGUUCGGGUUGUCAUGCCAAUGGCACUGCCCGGUAGCUAAAUGCGGAAGAGAUAAGUGCUGAAAGCAUCUAAGCACGAAACUUGCCCCGAGAUGAGUUCUCCCUGAGACUUAGAGUCUCCUGAAGGAACGUUGAAGACGACGACGUUGAUAGGCCGGGUGUGUAAGCGCAG
rnacentral:rRNA from 1 species